rnacentral:lncRNA from 1 species
UUCAGUUGUAAUCCCCAAUGUUGGAUAUGGGGCCUGGAUGUUCCCCUGGAUGCUGUGUUACAAUAGUGAGUGCGUGCUCAAGAGAUUUGGUUGUUUAAAAAUGUGUAGCACCUCCUCCCUCUCUCUCGGUCCUGCUCCUGCUGUGUAAGAGCCCUGCUCCCUCUUUGUCUUCCACCAUUCUUGGAAGCUCUCUGAGGCCUCCACAGAAGCAGAAGCCACUAUGCUUCCCGUACAGUCUGCAGAGCCAUGAGACAAUGAAUCUUCUUUUCUUUAUAAAUUACCCAGUCUCAGAUAUUUUUAAAUUGUUAUUUAGCCUGAUUCUUCAUCUCCCUAUCACCAUUUCAGAAGGCUUACACUAUUACUGAAAUGAAUGUUUUCCUGCCCUUUGAACUGGAAGGAAAAUACCUUCCCCAACACACAUAUGACCUCUAUUCAAC